GUGGGGAAUCUUGCGCAAUGGGCGAAAGCCUGACGCAGCCAUGCCGCGUGAAUGAUGAAGGUCUUAGGAUUGUAAAAUUCUUUCACCGGGGACGAUAAUGACGGUACCCGGAGAAGAAGCUCCGGCUAACUUCGUGCCAGCAGCCGCGGUAAGACGAGGGAUCCUAGCGUUGCUCGGAAUCAUUGGGCGUAAAGAGGGCGUAGGUGGCUUGGUAAGUCAGGUGUGAAAGCCCAGGGCUCAACCCUGGAAGUGCAUUUGAUACUGCUGAGCUUGAGUGUCGGAGAGGUUACCGGAAUACCUGGUGUAGUGGUGAAAUACGUAGAUAUCAGGUGGAACACCGGAGGCGAAGGCGGGUAACUGGACGAACACUGACACUGAGGCCCGAAAGCGUGGGGAUCAAACAGGAUUAGAAACCCGGGUAGUCC
rnacentral:rRNA from 1 species